rnacentral:rRNA from 1 species
GUGCCAGCAGCCGCGGUAAUACGUAGGGGGCGAGCGUUAUCCGGAUUUACUGGGCGUAAAGCGGGCGUAGGUGGCCUGUCAAGUCGGAUGUGAAAUCUCCCGGCUCAACUGGGAGGGUGCAUUCGAAACUGAUGGGCUAGAGUGCAGCAGAGGGAGAUGGAAUUCCCGGUGUAGUGGUGAAAUGCGUAGAUAUCGGGAAGAACACUAGUGGCGAAGGCGGUCUCCUGGGAUGUAACUGACACUGAGGCCCGAAGGCGUGGGGAGCAAACAGGAUUAGAUACCCUGGUAGUCCACGCAGUAAACGAUGGAUACUAGGUAUGGGGAGUAUCGACCCUCUCCGUGCCGAAGCUAACGCUUUAAGUAUCCCGCCUGGGGAGUACGGUCGCAAGACUAAAACUCAAAUGAAUUGACGGGG